rnacentral:rRNA from 1 species
UACGUAGGGUGCAAGCGUUAAUCGGAAUUACUGGGCGUAAAGCGUGCGCAGGCGGUGAUGUAAGACAGUUGUGAAAUCCCCGGGCUCAACCUGGGAACUGCAUCUGUGACUGCAUCGCUGGAGUGCGGCAGAGGGGGAUGGAAUUCCGCGUGUAGCAGUGAAAUGCGUAGAUAUGCGGAGGAACACCGAUGGCGAAGGCAGCUCUCUGGGUCCCUACCGACGCUGGGGUGCGAAAGCUUGGGGAGCGAACAGG